AACGAACGCUGGCGGUAGGCCUAACACAUGCAAGUCGAGCGCCCCCCCAGGGGAGGGGCGGUCGGGUGAGUAGCGCGUGGGAACGUGGCGUUUGGUUCAGCAGAACUCCCGUAAACUGGGGGUAAUACCGGAUAAGCCUUAAGGGGGUACGAUUUAUCGCCUAAGGAUCGGCGCGCGUCAGAUUCGCUAGUUGGGGAGUUAACGGCUCACCAAGGCGAGGAUCAGUAGCUGGGCAGAGAGGAUGAUCAGCCACACUGGGACUGAGAAACGGCGGAGACUACUACGGGAGGCAGCAGUGGGGAAUAUUGGAAAAUGGGCGCAAGCCUGAUCCAGCCAUGCCUCGUGAGUGAUGAAGGCGUUAGGGUUGUAAAGCUCUUUUGUCCGGGAAGAUAAUGACGGUACCGGAAGAAUAAGCCCCGGCUAACUUCGUG
rnacentral:rRNA from 1 species